rnacentral:SRP_RNA from 1 species
UGAGAGGUUGGUGCGGGCAAGCGCCUCGCCAACCCGGUCAGAUCCGGAAGGAAGCAGCCGUAACGAGCUCCGCUUGGGUCGUUAUCAGCCUCUCACCA